rnacentral:tRNA from 1 species
GGGAGAAUAGUCUAGUUUGGUUUAUGACUCUAGCCUCGGGCGCUGGUAACUGGGGUUCAAAUCCCCAUUCUCCCA